AGGGCCGCCCAUAGCACCGCCCGGCACUGGGGGCGGGGCUGGCUGAGCCUGCCGGGCUCCCGUCCGCCCCGCCUACCCCCCCUCUUGCCGGGAGCUGGCGGCGGAACCAGGCAGCGGCGGUCAGGAUGGCAGCGCCCAUCAUCCCCGAGAGCGGCAGCAUAAAAAAAGCAGUGUUGCUCAUUAACAUGAUAGACACAGGCAAAUUUCCUCGAUUGCUCUCCCGCAUCCUUCAAAAGCUUCAUCUAAAGGCUGAGAGCAGUUUCAGUGAAGAGGAGGAAGAAAAACUUCAAGCUGCGUUUUCAGUGGAGAAGCAAGAUCUUCAUUUAGUCCUUGAAACUAUAUCAUUUAUUUUGGAACAGGCAGUCUAUCAUAACCUGAAACCAGCUAUUCUGCAACAGCAGCUGGAGAGCAUUCACCUUGAUCAAGACAAAGCAGAAGCAUUUGUCAGUGCGUGGACUGCUGCAGGUCAAGAUACAAUUGAAAAGUUCAGGCAGAGGAUUUUGGCCCCUCAAAAGCUUGAGACAAUUGGAUGGCAGCUUAACCUUCAGAUGGCUCAGUCCACCCAAGCUAAACUGAAAUCUCCUCAAGCUGUAUUAGAACUUGGAAUGAGCAAUGAAGAUUCAAAGGGAGGAACGGGAAGUCCUGCUGUCUGAGCUGGUCCAUUGUUAUGGGCAUACAUGUAUGAGCAGUCCGGUAAAGUCUGUGGAAUACUAGUACUGUGCUUCGUCAACAAGAAACCUGUCUGGGUGCCUUCAUCCCUCAAUGGAUCUUGUGGUCAUUGGGUGGUUUGCUCGAGGUCUCCUGUGCCAGCUGUCAGCGCAGGGCUGGGGCGGCACACAGAGGGAACACACACAUGCAGCCAAACAUCUAACCACACUAAGAAGAGUAAAUUGUGCUUCCAGCUCCUUCAAAAAGAGGGCAAUUAAAACAGAAACCCCUUACUUUCAGAUGUUGGAGGAGUUCUCAUCAGGAGCAAACAGAAUGCAAAGCAGGCAACUGGCCUACCACAACACAUCUGUACCUAUUGCCGACGGAGCUGCAGUUCCAGGAUCAGACUCCUGAAUCAUCUCAGGACUCAUAUGUAAAUUUGUGGUAGUUCAUCCUUGAAUUGAGAGAUCGCUAAUGAAUGAAUGAUACAUGACAGUUAUUCUGUGACAUGGUGUAAGCAUGAUUUGUAAUAACUGUAAGACUUGUAUGACUUCUUGGUGUCUGCCAUUCUCACUUUAAAGGGAUUCACUCAUACUGUGCGUUGUAGGGUCCAUUAAUCUGUUAUCUCUCUGCUUGGUUUUAAUAAGAUGGGCCCUUUGGGAUUUGGAUUUUUAAAGUGUCUUUCUUUCAAAAAUAUUUUUAUUAUUCAUAAUUCUAAAAAUAAAAUAUGAAUUUCUUCCCUAGUAGAUUCUGGCUUGCAGUUGCGUUAAAUCUUUAAGAGCUGAUUCAUUAAUAUUUUAUCUACAGGAACAUAACUUCCUUUCUGUAAAGUGUGGCACAUUCUAGAUCCUCACUUGUGAUUGUCCGUCUUAUUAAGGGGUGAUGUGAUUGCUUUCCGUGAUGGAGUGUCCACCCCACACAAGCCCUGAGUGAGUUAAUGUGGGCCAGGAGGGGCUAACUAAUCGUAGAUGCUGCACCUGGAGCGGGGAACCAAGGAUUGAUAAGGCCUAAAAGCAGAUGAAAUCCAGUGGUGGGGAGGAGCUGGUAUAGGAGUAUAAAGCCAAGAAGUGAGAGCAUGAAAGGGGCUGCAGGGAGGAGGUCUGCAGUCACUGCCUAGAGGAAAAGGGAGUUGUCCAUGGACAAGUAGGAGAUCUGGGGGAAAGUAAGCCCUGGGGUCCGGUCCUGUCAUGGACCAGAGUCUUACAAGAGGCACAGAGGAGUAAAGUAGCCGUGGGGAACCGAGGAAGCUCUGAUGGUAAACCGACAGAUAGGUAAGGAGGUGGAAUAGGAAGGAACCCAGGGAAAUAGCAACAGGGUCUGAAACUGAGCUGAUCUAGGUUGCUAGCCAUAGGGUCCCUGGGCUGGAACCUGGAAUAGGAGGCAGGCCUGGGUUCCCCACCAGCUGCUGGGGAAAGUGGCACAGGACCUGAAGUUGAAAUGGAAGACUACCUGAAACGGCAUUCAGACAGCUAGUUCCAUGGAACUUUGUUACCCUGGAAGGGAAGGACUUUAUAGUGACCUGGCUGGAAGGCUGAGUCAUGAAGAGGGAGUACUGAGUCCUGGCAAGAGAGAGACAGGGGCUACAGCGCAAGCAAGCAAGCAAAGGAAGGUGGCACCCGACAGGGAAAGAGCUAAUUCCCAGACCUAGUUCCAAUUAGGUGCACCUGUAGUGAUUGGAACCGCUUCACACUUUUGUGUAGGCUAUUGUGAUGUAGUGCUGCUUCCAGUUGCCAUUCUUUAUAGUGGAUCUGGAGUGGGAUAUGACGAUGAAAUACUUUCUUCCUUCCACCUAAGAAGUCAGCAAUGGCCAUAUUUUCUUCCACCCAGUCCCCUUGUUAGGACAUGAUGCCAUGGUAUCAUGGCAUAGAUAACAGUCUCAUCUAGAACCUGUAUUGUGGGGAAAGGCAGCUGCUUGAGAUCCAGCUGUUGAGCUUCUCAUUACUCCAGUAGUAACCACUGCAGGUUUGGUUCGGAGCAGUCGGAGCUUUGUCUUGCAGCUUUCUACCCUGUCUCUAUGGCAGAAACAAGUGUUAGAAACAAGGACAGGAAGAGGAACAUUCAUAGUGAGUUUUUAUUCCUGUUUGUUUGUAUUCUGUAGCACUCACAAGGUGCUAGGUGCUGUCCAAAAUGUAUGUGAAAACACAGUCCCUGUCCCCAGUUAGUCUAAGAAGAUGAGCAACUUAUGAAAGGGGAGGGAUAAAAACAGUCUCCCAAAUUAGUGAUCCACCUCUAUAAUUAGUUCACUAGCUUCUUGUAGAUGUCACAGUAGAAAUAAGUUUCAAGGAAGGACUUCCAGGAGAACAGGGUAAUGGCCUACCUUGAACUCAAAGAGCCCCCCAUGUGUAUGGAGCCCCAUACAGUGGAAGAAGGCACAAAGUCAGUUGUGGGAGAGCAGACAAAACGGAAAUUAAGUCUACUAAAAAUUCACAGAAUUGGAAGUGUGGAAGGGGCGGGGAAAGUUGACUCUCAGACCCUAGUCUUUGCACAACUUUCUUGCUUUCUGGCUGCCUGCAAGAUUUUUUAAAAAAAAUCUUCUAUACCUUCUUCCCUUGUCUGCCACUAGGUUCUGCUUCUGCAGCUUCUGCAGGGUGGUCAGGAAAUACAAUCAGGAUCUGCAGAGAGUAUUUUCUGCCUUUUGGCUUUGAGUUGUGCUGAUGAGUCAAAUACCAACCCUUAAUGGUGUUCGUCAACAGCUCUUUGAUAGGCUCUGCUGGAUUCUGGGCUGUCUCCCCACCUAAACAGAACUAACAAAAUUGUUGUUAUGACGGAAAAGAAAUGUAAACAAACACAAAGAGCUGGGGAGGAGGACCCUGCCUACCUGAGCACAGAUGGUCUCCCAGGGGAAGGGUGAGCUAAAGAGUGGUAUUGUGAUUAGGAUGUUUAUUUUCUUUGUGAUCUGUACUCUGUAUUUCUUGUACUUAAGGAAAGAGCAAUAAUGUGUUAGACUUCCAUGUAAAGCACAUGUGUUUAUUAUGUGCUACACCAACCAUGCAACCCCCGAGAGAAUUAAAAUGUAACCUAGAAGGUGGGAUUUUGAUAGUGAGUGUGUUUAAGAUACUGGGGUAUCUUGUGGGUCAACACAGGUCCUGGGGGCAUAAGGUAGAAGGAUUGUGGGGCUCCAUUUCCAUGAAGAGGUAGCAGACAGAGUCAGGAUCCUGGAAAUAUGCCAGAGGUGCCAGGGAAGAAACAGUACUAUAGCUUUCUGAGACCCAGGGAAGCUUAGCAUACAUGAAAAGAAAAGGAGUACUUGUGGCACCUUAGAGACUAACAAAUUAUUUGAGCAUAAGCUUUCGUGAGCUACAGCUCACUUCGCUGGACUCUUUUGCAGCAGUCUAGUGGGCUACUUGUAAGGCAAGCCCAAGCAGAACUGUCUCCUCUCAGUUUGGCAUCUCAUGGACAGAUCAUAGCCUGUGGGUAGAGUCUGUAGAAAAGUAUAUUCACUAUUUUUUUUUUUUUUUUUGCCUUGUCUGUGAUCUGUAUCUAGCACCUUAGAGUUAUCGUCUGGGAACUGUGGCACUCCUGGUGAUUCAGUUUCUUUUAAAAGGCAGAUAGUUUUCUAACCAGUUGCAUGGGAGAGGGUAAGAUGUAUAAGAAAUGUAGCUUUCCUUUUCACUGGUAAGUAUGAAUGGUUGAGGGUGUUUUGUGCAUGUCAUUGUGCUAUUUAAAAAGAACUCUGCCUCUCAAGUUAAUGUUUCUGUGUAAAGCUACUGCAGGACCCUAUAGCUACCAGUUAACUUAUUUUUUAAGUAGAUUCAGACCCUGAUGUGACCCUCACUUCAUGAUGUCUGGGUUUUUUUUAGUCUUCAACUGCAGUGUAGAGUAGGAGUCCAACAUGACUCUCAUUAAUGAAUUAUAAAAUAUAGUACAUUUGGUUUCUUUUGCGUAAGUAUUCAAGUAAAGUAGAAAAGAUUCAUGCAGGAAAAUUGGCUGAAAACAUUGUUAACCAUCAUUAAAAAUAUUCCAUUAAAUGCAGCAUAGCCAUGUCCCCACUCGCCAUGUCAGCUUGGCCUGAAUAACUGUUGGCUUAUAACUGCCUCUUGCACAUCAGCUACCUUUUUGGACACUAUCCUUAAAGUGGGUCAUAUUGCUUGGAUAUUUUUUUUUCUUAAUAUUUAAGAGAGUACCAGCAAGACUUAGUUGGACAGAAGCCAACUAUUGUGGUGGACCUAGUUGUUCAGAUUUGUUUUUUGUACUUUUGAGGUUUAAUAAAUGUUGAAGUUGAGUGUUAUCCAUUUCCAUGAAAAUUUAGUUGUGUUGUCUGACACGACAAAAUCUGAACUGUACCACUUUGGACACAGUCAACUGCAUGCUGGGAGAUUUCCACUAAAUUCCUGAAAGGGUUAAAAUUGUGUGUGCUAUCUGCCUACGCAAAUUGAGACUGACAUGAUAAACUGCAAAACUCCAUUAAAAGUAUGUGUUUUUAUACCAUUA